GACGAACGCUGGCGGCGUGCCUAAUACAUGCAAGUAGAACGCUGCAGUGAGGAGCUUGCUCUUCUUGGUUGAGUUGCGAACGGGUGAGUAACGCGUAGGUAACCUGCCUUGUAGCGGGGGAUAACUAUUGGAAACGAUAGCUAAUACCGCAUAACAAUGGAUGACACAUGUCAUUUAUUUGAAAGGGGCAAUUGCUCCACUACAAGAUGGACCUGCGUUGUAUUAGCUAGUAGGUGAGGUAAUGGCUCACCUAGGCGACGAUACAUAGCCGACCUGAGAGGCUGAGCGGCCACACUGGGACUGAGACACGGCCCAGACUCCUACGGGAGGCAGCAGUAGGGAAUCUUCGGCAAUGGGGGCAAUCCUGACCGAGCAACGCCGCGUGAGUGAAGAAGGUUGUCGGAUCGUAAAGCUCUGGUGUAAGUCAAGAACGGGUGUGAGAGUGGAAAGUUCACACUGUGACGGUAGCUGACCAGAAAGGGACGGCUAACUACGUG
rnacentral:rRNA from 1 species